CAGGACAUCUUGACAAAGGACCAGAUGGAUGACAUUCCAGUAUAUUGGAGUGUUAAUGGGGCUGUUUGCUGCAGUCAAAAAAAAGAUGAUGGAAUGAUUUUAUAGAAGUAUUUAAAUUAGGGUGCUGCUUGACCUGCUGACUACACAAGUACUUAGCUGAGGAUGUGUUCCCAGAUAUGAGAGCACUAAGGGAAUCACUGCAAAAGGAGGUUAUUGGAGCAUUAAAUGCAGAGAGGUUCAACUGUAAAGAGAAACAUUCAACAAUAUAAACCCAGGAUUCAAUCCAGCUCGGCAUUUACAGCAACAACAUGACAAAGUGUUGACAAUUAUUUCCUUUGCACCGGAACUGUAUCAUCUGGGGUGAGAGACG